UUGAAGACUGAAUCGAGUAGACCGUCUGCGUGCUUGUUGGAAGUUGGAGACUGGAAGUUGACUGAGAUUAAGCUAGCAAAAGAUGAAUCGAGGCAUCAAGAGACACAAGGGGGGAGCGGAGAAACAGGAACAAAUCUAAGAGAGCACUGUUGGCUGAAGGUGAAAAAUGCUGCAAACUGAGUUGUUUUUAAAAUCAAGUGCAGCUUGAGCUAGCACUAGCGCUUAUAAUGCUAGCACUAUUGUACACCAGGGACAAAGACAGGACAGUGAGGAAUAUGAUCCAGAGGAAGAAUAAAACAAGCAAGAGGAGGAUGAAGACAUAGACAUGAUAACUGCAUGAUGACAUCCACACGCUGUUUCAGUGGUCGAAAGGACACAAAUUCUUCACCACUGCCCUCAACAGAGAGGAAGGAUGUGAACUGCUGAAUGAUGACAUCACCUACCUACAAUGUUGACAGGAAAAUUAAGAUACAAUUAUUCACACCAUUAUUACAUUCCAUUCUUCAACAUCCAUUUGACAAAAUACAUACAACACAGCAUCACAUAAUAGUAUCCACAUAGAUCUACAAGUUCAUUUAAUUUGGCAAAAGCAAAGACACUUUCAUGCUCAGGGUAAAAAGGCAGAAAAUCCCAAAUUAAACCUCUAGCACAAGUUCUUAAGCAAUUUGCAUAACCUAUCUGUCCCUAUACAAUACUUUCUUACCAGCUGGAAUGCCACCUGCCAACUGCUUUCCCUGGAUGAACGUUUGCACUAUACUCUUCAUCUGUGUGAUGCACCACUCAGGAUCUCCAAACAUGCAAUCUGCCUGACCACAGCGGAUUUCAGGGGACAUUUCUCUUGCAGCUUCCUAACCACCUUAACCAGGCACUGCAAACAUUCUCGCCUGAAGCAUCCACGUAUGUUUGAAGCAUGGGCCAAACUGCUAUUGCUCUCUCUACCACUGGCACAUUGUCGACCCAUCUAUGGCCGCAGAAAGAGAACCUGGUGAGGUUGGUGAACUCCUCUCUGUGGAAUAAAAAGUGCAUCCCUCGCAGGAGGUUUUCAAGUUGCCAUGCUGUGAAGCCCGCCUUCAUUGCAUUGUGGAGGGUAUGCAGCUCCCAACACUAAUGACUUGAGCACCUCCAUGUAGCUCAGCAUGCUCCUUUUGAAGAAGAUCCAUCAGCUUAAAAUUUACAUUUGGCCCAUCCAUUCCAACCGACAGAAGCUGCCUCAUAUUCAGUUGUGCGACACAUUCCUGUGAACUGUCGUGAAAUAGCAAUUUAUUGUUGAAAUGAACUGUAUUUAGUAUCCAGAUAGUUAUAUAUGCUUCAACAUUGAGCAUUCAGACAAUCUUAGCCUACAAUUAUGGCGUUACAUUUUCCUAAAGCAGAACGUGAGCCAGGUGUUGGGCUACAUGUGACACAUAUGUGAGAUAGGCCAUUGAUCAAACCUGAUGCUAAAACAUAGUUCAGUCAGCUGGUUUGUUAGAAUAGUAGCCUAAAUCAUCUAAGGCUCCCUAAUGGUGAUACUCUUUAGUUUAUGAUUAGGUUAAUAAUCGUUAAAUAUAUACAAUAAAAUCUUUCAAACAAC